GGAACCUGGCGGCGUGCUUACACAUGCAAGUCGAGCGAUGUAGCUUCCUUCGAGGGAGUGGAUUAGCGAGCGGACGGGUGAGUAACACGUGGGUAACCUGCCUCAAAGUGGGGGAUAGCCUUCUGAAAGGAAGAUUAAUACCGCAUAACAUAAGAGAAUCGCAUGAUUUUCUUAUCAAAGAUUUAUUGCUUUGAGAUGGACCCGCGGCGCAUUAGCUAGUUGGUAAGGUAACGGCUUACCAAGGCAACGAUGCGUAGCCGACCUGAGAGGGUGAUCGGCCACAUUGGAACUGAAACACGGUCCAGACUCCUACGGGAGGCAGCAGUGGGGAAUAUUGCGCAAUGGGGGAACCCUGACGCAGCAACGCCGCGUGGGUGAUGAAGGUCUUCGGAUUGUAAAGCCCUGUUUUCUGGGACGAUAAUGACGGUACCAGAGGAGGAAGCCACGGCUAACUACGUGCCAGCAGCCGCGGUAAUACGUAUGUGGCGAGCGUUGUCCGGAUUUACUGGGCGUAAAGGGUGCGUAGGCGGAUGUUUAAGUGGGAUGUGAAAUCCCCGGGCUUAACCUGGGGGCUGCAUUCCAAACUGGAUAUCUAGAGUGCAGGAGAGGAAAGCGGAAUUCCUAGUGUAGCGGUGAAAUGCGUAAAGAUUAGGAAGAACACCAGUGGCGAAGGCGGCUUUCUGGACUGUAACUGACGCUGAGGCACGAAAGCGUGGGUAGCAAACAGGAUUAUAUACCCUGGUAGUCCACGCCGUAAACGAUGGAUACUAGGUGUAGGGGGU
rnacentral:rRNA from 1 species